rnacentral:rRNA from 1 species
AGUUCAAGAGUACGUGAAACCGUUUAGGGGUAAACCUGAGAAACCCGAAAGGUCGAAGGGAGAAAUUCAUUCGCGUUUCGACGCAGGCGUGGGACGGAGUCCGGAGCGACGGAACUCCCGUUUCUCUCUGGGAACGGGGUCAACAGUUUCGCGCCCUCCGUUUUUCGAACCGGCGGCGAACGCGUGCACUUUUCUCCUGGUAGGACGUCGCGAUCCGUCGGGCGUCGGUCUACGACUUGCGGUGGAGCCCGUCCGUUUCGUCUUUGUUGUACGUGCGGAAGGACCCGCUCGUUCCGGCCGACUCGCUCGACGGUAUACGUGUAAGGUCGGAGGCCGCUCGUUUUUUCACAAGGAGCGUUCGACUCGUCGCAAGCGCGCCACGUGCGUCGGCACGCGGACCUCGUGCCGCGUCCGACCUCUGGUGACUGUUGGCGACGAUGAUUCUCGGACAGACCUCUUUUUUUUUCGCAUUCACGUGCGAAAAAGAUGACCGAUCGGCGACGCUAUAGCUUUGGGUACUUUCAGGACCCGUCUUGAAACACGGACCAAGGAGUCUAGCAUGUACGCGAGUCAUUGGGAAUAUCGCUAAACCUAAAGGCGUAAUGAAAGUGAAGGUCUUCCUCGCGAAGACCGAGGGAAGACGGACGAUCGCGCGGAGAUUUUUAUUAAUUUCCGAUCGUCCCGCAUUCCCGGGGCGUCUCGUUCACAUCGCGUGAAGAGGCGCACCAAGAGCGUACACGCUGGGACCCGAAAGAUGGUGAACUAUGCCUGGUCAGGACGAAGUCAGGGGAAACCCUGAUGGAGGUCCGUAGCGAUU